AAAGUCAGACAGGAGAGUAAAAGAGAAAGGGAGAGAUAAAAUGUUAAGAGACAAAUAAAGGGUGAUUAGAGCCGACUCAUCACUCCCCCUUCUCUCUUGAUCUCCCUUUUUCUUUUUCCUCAUUCUCUCUCACCUCUCUCAUUUUUCUUUCUCCCUCCCACCUCUCUCCCUCCCUCCCUCCAGUCCUCUAAAGCUGCAGUGUCUACGGAUCCUCAGUAUUUCCCAGCUGAAUUCAUUAAUGUGUUUUGGUCUUGUCUGCAGCCCUUGAGCUCUGCACUUCGUUUAUAGUCAUCAGCUGUCUAGUGCAUUAGGCAUAGAACUCUCUACCUGUUACACACAAUGUGCAUGACCUCAGCUCAGAGGGAAUUAUGAUACAAAAUGUAAAAUGGAACAGAACAGAAGGAUUCUCGCCAAAGGUGUGUUUGCAUUGUGAGAAGACAAAAAAAGUAAUUUAAUCAUGAAUAAGACAGAAAGGAAAACAAUGGUGGACUUGCAGACGUAUCUAUUGACGCCCUCACCACAACGCUGGCCUGAGUGGCAAUUGCCUGGAAAUUGCUAUUUUAUUUGAAAGGUCUGCCGGAACAAUUCUCUGGGUGUAAUAGUUUAUUGUGUUCCGAUGAAAUAAAGUGGAUUUGAUUUGUGUGCCCUUUUUAGACUGGGACAUCCAUUAUGGUUAAUGUAGGAAGAGGGAUGAGGUGGCAAACUGGGACAUCCAUUAUGGUUAAUGUAGGAAGAGGGAUGAGGUGGCAAACUGGGACAUCCAUUAUGGUUAAUGUAGGAAGAGGGAUGAGGUGGCAAACUGGGACAUCCAUUAUGGUUAAUGUAGGAAGAGGGAUGAGGUGGCAAACUGGGACAUCCAUUAUGGUUAAUGUAGGAAGAGGGAUGAGGUGGCAAACUGGGACAUCCAUUAUGGUUAAUGUAGGAAGAGGGAUGAGGUGGCAAACUGGGACAUCCAUUAUGGUUAAUGUAGGAAGAGGGAUGAGGUGGCAAACUGGGACAUCCAUUAUGGUUAAUGUAGGAAGAGGGAUGAGGUGGCAAACUGGGACAUCCAUUAUGGUUAAUGUAGGAAGAGGGAUGAGGUGGCAAACUGGGACAUCCAUUAUGGUUAAUGUAGGAAGAGGGAUGAGGUGGCAAACUGGGACAUCCAUUAUGGUUAAUGUAGGAAGAGGGAUGAGGUGGCAAACUGGGACAUCCAUUAUGGUUAAUGUAGGAAGAGGGAUGAGGUGGCAAACUGGGACAUCCAUUAUGGUUAAUGUAGGAAGAGGGAUGAGGUGGCAAACUGGGACAUACAUUAUGGUUAAUGUAGAAAGAGGGAUGAGGUGGAAAACUGGGACAGGAAGUGGUCAUUUCCUGUUUAGUGAAUAAUUCCAUUUGAGGAAAAGGUGGAUAAACCAGUUAGUUAGUUAGUUAGUUAGUUCGUUCGUUCAUUUUUACUUAGUUUGUUACUUAGUUAGCUAGAUAUAAGUGAUUUAUAUCAACAUUAUACCAACUACAAACACAGUGUAUAUGGUAUGUAUAUAUACCUUCAAGUCCACAUGGACUAGUGCAGUACACAGGGAAGAGGGUUUGAUUUGGACCAGGCCUUUAGAAUCAUUAUCUCUUGUGCAGCCAGUAGAUCCAAAAAGAAGGCAGAAACAACCAUCAUUACAUUUCACUUCACAACUUCCUGCUACUUACAACUUAACACUGACAGCACUCAUUAAAGGUUUUGUUAGCUUAAAACUUUGAUUCACCUCUUACUCCCCUCUCCUCUUUCUUCCAUUCUCUCUCCCUUAUCCACCCCCAGGACUGCAACUAAAGCAGAAUAACUAAUGACAGAGAAUGAUAGAUGAGAGGAGGAGUGAGAAAAUGAAAGAGAGAGAUAUACAACUCAAUGCAUCGCCGA